rnacentral:rRNA from 1 species
GAUGAACGCUGGCGGCGUGCCUAAUACAUGCAAGUCGAGCGAACAGAUGAGGAGCUUGCUCCUCUGACGUUAGCGGCGGACGGGUGAGUAACACGUGGAUAACCUACCUAUAAGACUGGGAUAACUUCGGGAAACCGGAGCUAAUACCGGAUAAUAUAUUGAACCGCAUGGUUCAAUAGUGAAAGACGGUUUUGCUGUCACUUAUAGAUGGAUCCGCGCCGCAUUAGCUAGUUGGUAAGGUAACGGCUUACCAAGGCAACGAUGCGUAGCCGACCUGAGAGGGUGAUCGGCCACACUGGAACUGAGACACGGUCCAGACUCCUACGGGAGGCAGCAGUAGGGAAUCUUCCGCAAUGGGCGAAAGCCUGACGGAGCAACGCCGCGUGAGUGAUCAAGGUCUUCGGAUCGUAAAACUCUGUUAUUAGGGAAGAACAAAUGUGUAAGUAACUAUGCACGUCUUGACGGUACCUAAUCAGAAAGCCACGGCUAACUACGUG